CCUGUAAUUUCAUUACCUCAGCAACUUGAAAGCCACAUGGAAAUGCCUGAGCCAACAUGAAUUACUUUUCAGCUAAGAUCCUGUGAGAUACAACAUCGUGCCCCUAUUAAAGCUCAUCUGCACUUGGAUAGUCCCCUGUCCUUGCUCAAGGCCCUGCACCCAAAGCUCACUGAAGACAGAGUGACCAUUAGGAACAGAAACUGGAUUUACAAGAGUCUGUCUGCAGUACCCUUGCUGUUGUUUAAGUUUCCUAGUGUUCUUCAAGAACCAACCCAAUUUCCC
rnacentral:lncRNA from 12 species